UACUAUCACAGCUGGUGCAGGCGGCACUGAUGCACAGGAUUGGGCUGAUAUGCUUCUCAGGAUGUAUGUGAGAUGGGCAGAAAAGCAGCGCUAUAAAACAAAAGUUGUUGAGAAGUCUGUGGGAGAAGAAGCUGGGAUCAAGUCAGCCACUGUUGAAAUUGAUGGACGGUAUGCAUAUGGCUACCUGUCUGGGGAGAAAGGAACCCACAGGAUUGUUCGACAGUCUCCCUUCAACUCUAAAGGCCUUCGUCAGACAAGCUUCACUGGCAUUGAAGUUAUGCCUCUUCUUCCUGAAGACUCAACAAAUGUUGAAAUUCCCGAAGAAGACUUGGAUAUCAGCUUUACAAGAGCAGGUGGAAAGGGAGGUCAAAAUGUUAACAAGGUUGAGACUGCAGUUCGCAUCACUCAUAUUCCCACUGGUGUAGCUGUUCGCUGUACAGAGGAGAGGUCACAGCUGGCAAAUAAGAUAAAAGCUCUAAGCAGAUUGAAGGCAAAAUUAUUGGUGAUUGCAGAGGAACAAAGGGCAUCAGAAAUAAAGCAAAUAAGAGGAGACACGGUGAAGGCGGAAUGGGGCCAGCAAAUAAGAAACUAUGUCUUCCAUCCUUACAAGCUAGUAAAAGAUGUAAGGACUGCUUAUGAAACUUGUGAUAUCACCUCUGUGAUGGAUGGUGAGUUAGAUCCUUUUAUCAAAGCCUACCUUAAGCACAAGUACAGUUUGGCAGCAAAUCCUAGUGGACUCACUUGAUAAUGCAAAUGAAUCACUAGAUACAACAUCUUUAAUGUUGUUAUUACCUUGUAUUUG
rnacentral:misc_RNA from 1 species